GAUGAAGAACGUAGCGAAAUGCGAUACGUAAUGUGAAUUGCAGAAUUCAGUGAAUCAUCGAGUCUUUGAACGCACAUUGCGCCCCCUGGUAUUCCGGGGGGCAUGCCUGUCCGAGCGUCAUUGCUGCCCUCAAGCACGGCUUGUGUGUUGGGCCUCCGUCCUCCUCCCGGGGGACGGGCCCGAAAGGCAGCGGCGGCACCGCGUCCGGUCCUCGAGCGUAUGGGGCUUCGUCACCCGCUCUUGUAGGNNNGGCCGGCGCUUGCCGACACAUCAAUCUUUUUUCCAGGUUGACCUCGGAUCAGGUAGGGAUACCCGCUGAACUUAAGCAUAUCAAUAAGCGGAGGA
rnacentral:misc_RNA from 1 species